AUGGGAAGCCCGGCCCCUAGUUCCAGUGCCGAAAGGGCCUUCGACAAGGCGACUCUCUCUCCAUACCUUUUCAUCAUCGUCGCCGACAUCCUAAAGCGUCUCAUUCUACAAGCCUCCGACAAUGGUCUGUUGUCCCACCUGCUCGUUAGUAACCAACCUUGCACCGUCUUACAAUAUGCCGACGACACUCUAAUUGUUCUACCCCCCGACGCGGCACAAUUACACACUCUCAAACACAUCCUUCUCCAGUUCUCUCAGACCACUGGCUUAACCAUUAACUUCCACAAAAUCACCUUCACGCCUAUCCACGUGGACCCGGAGCUAACUCUAAGCCUAGCGGCUAUCCUCGGAUGUCAGAUCGCUACCUUCCCCCAAUCCUACCUAGGCCUGCCCUUAUCGACCCAUAAGCUUAACCUGGCCAAUUUCUUUUUCAUCAUCGACAAGGUCGACAAGCGCUUAGCCGGCUGGUGGGGCCUUCUUUUAUCUAUCGCUGGUAGGGCUAUCCUGGUCCGUUCUGUCCUUCGCGCCCUCCCCAUCUAUGCUAUGAGUGUCCUUCUGCUUCCCGCCGGAACCUUACAGGAGAUCGAAAAACGUUGUAGAGCCUUCUUUUGGACUGGCCAAGACUCAGUAACGGGCGGCAAGUGCAAAGUUGCUUGGGAUCUUGUUUGCGCACCCUUCACCAAUGGGGGCCUUGGUUUCCUCUCUCUCAAGCACAUGAACUUGUGCCUGCUUCUUAAACACAUCUCUAAGCUUCACGACGACCUGGCCUCCCCGAAACCUUCCUUCUUAAUCUCCCGGUUCAGCUAG
rnacentral:rRNA from 1 species